UCAGCAAGCAUUUCUGACCAAGGCUUGGAAAACCCACAGAGCCGCGAUCGUGCCUCCGCCUGCUGGGCCCUGCGUGUCACCGGGACGCUAACCCGGGACUUGGGAGACCUUGAGGUUCCCACAAGCCGUCCGUCUCGCUCACGGCCGUGUGUGCAUGUCAGCGCGACUCCACCAACCUGUCCCGCCCUCUGCUUCCCCGGUUCUGUGCGGAACACUGGGAAUGUCUAUCAACAUCACAGAGAUCCCACUCCUGGAAAUCUCUCCUACAGAUACACCUGCGCAAGAAGAUUGGGGACUUCCCUGACUGUCCAAUGAUUAAGACUCC